ensembl:lncRNA
AUCAUUUCUGGACCUGGGGUGAUGGUACAGUAGCCUACCUCUCAAGCAGUAUCAAUGUGUUACACUGUAUUGUGCCUCCUCAUCCACUUCAAUAUAGCCUGAUGCGUCUCACAUUGAAUAGAUAAACUGUUAACUUUACACUGUCAUUGGAUCGCUUGUUGAAUCGCAUAUUCAUAACAUAUUAACACACUAAAAAGCAGUGUAUUCGGGGACCUUUCACUUUGCUCUGGGUUCUGUUGCUUGCUGUGUUUCCUCUGCCACUGAUGGAUAAUUGAAUGAUCCAACGGUCCAGUAGCAGCUAUUAAUACCACCUUAGUUCCAGCUUCUAUUUUAGGGUCGAAGCUGUUAGGGUAGGGGCUAGCAGCAGGGAACAGGGCAGGGUUCGGGGUCACAAGACACAGACACAAAACACUGGGACUGGACUCACUUCUGUGUGACGAGGCAGUAUUUCAACCUGGACUCUAUUCAGAAGGCUAAUACAGUUGUGGAUGAUUAUUCUGUUUGUGUGUAUCAUGGUCCUGCAUUCACCUCACCUUUUCCAUCAUUCGUCGUCGACGCGUAUUGGGAACUUAUUGAAAGCAGCUUUCUGUUCUUGUGGAGACACGUGAAUUCAGUAUCUUUCUCCUGUUUCAUCUUAACAGAAGGGGAAAUGGCAAAACCCCCUCCAUCCCCUAUCACUUCAGUAUCAUCCCCUACCACUCCAGUAUUCUUUACCCGGAUCAGUGACCGGGACCUAACUGAGAUCGAGCUACAUUCCGUGGAGUCCAUCAACGACCUACACCGAACCCACCCAGAAUACAACCACAAAGGCAGCAGACGACCUCCUCUUCCUCCUGCCCCCUCCACCAAUGGGAACCUCCAUCUCAGGGACAGUCAGACGGGGCAUCCAAUGACAAGUCGAUGGCAGAGGACGUUCCGAGACCUGUUGACGCCCACCUGGUUUCGAUACACCACGAUAGCGCUGAUGCUAUUGAUGCUACUUCUAAUCUUCUAUUUCUUAGUGCAGCAGGGCAGCACUCUCCGGUCCCUGACUAAGGCAGUGAGGGAGAGACAGGCUGCAGCCCUAGAGAUCUCCCAACUCAUCCAGGAGCUGCAGGCGCUGCGCCAUAACCUCUCAGCCAUCACGGGAGGACUCUGAGGAGCAGAGGUCACUGAAAGGAACACCCUUAACCCACUGGCCCCCGAGGGACAAUGAGACUGUUCCACCAACAUCAAGUCAAAUCCCUUCCCUGCACAUGGUAUUGGACCUUGGGCCCAUCCAGAAACAACCCUUAGCCCCGACCCCCAUAUGAGCAGAGCCCAGGUGUUAUAAAACCCACCGAGAAUGUUUCCUUAUACUGGAUAUUUAUACGUUGGUUGAUUUGGUAGACAUAUAACACAAAGAAGAUACUCAUACAGUAUGAAUGGCAGGGUACUGAACACUUUAUAGCGUAUAUAGGAACCGCACUCUUGAACUGACAAUGAAUGUACUCACACAUCUGCACUGGGAUACAGACAUGGUCCAGGUUGGAGAUGCCCAUGUGAUCUAACUUCUAGAAGUGGUAUUCUUUUGCAUUUAUGCAUUUGACAGGAAAUGCACGAUGUAAUGUCACACCCAUUUUGUUACCUGAAACACUGUGCCAAUUUGGGAAAUUCUGUCUGACUAUCACAACUUCAGCAUGUCACGAGUGGAACGGAAUUGUAUUUAAUGAAUAAGCCGAGGAAGUGCCUUAGCAUGGCGAAUGCCACUGUUCUCAAUUUGAUACACUUGGUGGAAUUGCAAUGAUGCCACCGUACACCAACUAAAUAAACAAAAGAGGUAUUAUUAUAUAUUGGUGAUCGAGGCUAUCCUUUCCUGACACUCCUCACCCGCCCAGUCCUGAUAGCACUGGAACAGGAAGUUAGUGAGAAGGCGACUGAGGUCAUGGAAGGUCAGGAAGUUGGAGAAGGGGUCAGAAAGGAGGAUCAUGUGGUCAGAGUAUGGGUCCUGUCUGGCACAACAAUCGUUGCCAUGGCAUCGCUCUUCGCUGCACCCCUCUCUUCAGGGUGCUGAUGUACUCUCCCAGUUCAGAAUGAAUGUAGUCCCUCAGUAUCACACACUGACACUGCCGAGAGGGAGAGAGAGAUUCAUUCACAAAUACAAAAAGAUAAUCUAAUAGAAACUGAACUGCAUACACAGUCAAGGUAAUAAUGGCUGUAGAGGUAUGUAUGCGUACAAUAAAUGUACAUUAUAGUGUAUGUACAUGCACAGACUGAGGUCUCUAGGAUCUGAUCUUUGACUUAGCGAACCUCAGCUCCCCCCACAGCACUGCUCCUGCUUUCCCCAGUGCUGCACUCUCUCCCAGUGUGUGCUCCAGGUCCGUCUGCACGCACGCGCACACACACACACACACACACACACACACACACACACACACACACACACACACACACACACACACACACACACACACACACACCACAGGAGGUUGGUGGCACCUUAAUUGGGGAGAACAGGCUCGUGGUAAUGACUGGAGUGGAAUCCGUGGAAUGGUAUCAAACACAGGGUUUCCAGGUGUUUGAUGCCAUUUCAUUUGCUCUCUUCUGGCCAUUUCUAUGAGCUGUUCUCCCCUCAGCAGUCUCCACUGACAUACACACACACAUACUCUCUCUCACACACACACACACACAAAAAUGCAUACACACUGAAAUGGACAGAAUAUCUUUCCUGGCAUCUUCUGCCAGGUGUGCCCAUAUGUCACUGUCAACAUGCCCAGAUUAACGUAGGUUCAUAUCAUCCAUGAGAAUAGUACAUUCUGCCAGAUAUUAUAUCAAAGACGGUAUAAUAUUCAUAACAUAAGAGCAUCAGUGUCACGCCCUGACCUUAGAGAGCCUUUUUAUUCUCUAUUUUGGUUAGGUCGGGGUGUGACUAGGGUGGGUACUCUAGUUUUUAUAUUUCUAUGUUGGCCGGGUAUGGUUCCCAAUCAGAGGCAGCUGUCUAUCGUUGUCUCUGAUUGGGGAUCAUAUUUAGGCAGCCUUUUCCCACCUGUUAUUUGUGGGAUCUUGAUUUUUGUAUUGUUGCUUUUUAGCCCUACGAAGCUGUAUGUUUCGUUGGUUUUCUGUUUUGUUGCUGGUUCACCUUAAUAAAAGAUGAUGAACCCAAAC